rnacentral:rRNA from 1 species
AGUCGAGCGGUACAUGAUUUGUAGCAAUACAAAUUGAUGACGAGCGGCGGACGGGUGAGGAACACGUAGGAACCUGCCCUUUAGCGGGGGACAACCAAGGGAAACUUUGGCUAAUACCGCGUAAUCUCGAGAGAGGAAAGCUGCCCGCAAGGGUGGCGCUAAAGGAGGGGCCUGCGUCCGAUUAGCUAGUUGGAGAGGUAAAAGCUCCCCAAGGCGAUGAUCGGUAACUGGUCUGAGAGGACGACCAGUCACACUGGGACUGAGACACGGCCCAGACUCCUACGGGAGGCAGCAGUGGGGAAUAUUGGACAAUGGGGGCAACCCUGAUCCAGCGAUGCCGCGUGGGUGAAGAAGGCCUUCGGGUUGUAAAGCCCUUUAGGUUGGGACGAAGGGUGAUUGGUGAAUAGCCAGUCAUUUUGACGGUACCGACAGAAUAAGCACCGGCAAACUCUGUGCCAGCAGCCGCGGUAAUACAGAGGGUGCGAGCGUUAAUCGGAGUUACUGGGCGUAAAGGGCGCGUAGGCGGUUAUGUGAGUGUGGUGUGAAAGCCCUGGGCUUAACCUAGGAAGUGCAUCGCAAACGACAUAACUGGAGUAUAAGAGAGGGUGGCGGAAUUUCCGGUGUAGCGGUGAAAUGCGUAGAGAUCGGAAGGAACGUCAAUGGCGAAGGCAGCCACCUGGCUUAAUACUGACGCUGAGGCACGAAAGCGUGGGGAUCGAACAGGAUUAGAUACCCUGGUAGUCCACGCUGUAAACGAUGAGGACUAGAUGUUGGUAGGG